UACUUUGCGCAGUGGCAUUAUCGUAACCAAUGAGGUUUAUCCGAGGUGCGAUUAUUGCGAGUUGAAAACUAUGAAAAAAACUAUAAACCUUGCUUUCUUUCGCAAUUAAAAUUAAUUUAAAAUUUUAGUUUUUAAAAU